GCCACACUGGAACUGAGACACGGUCCAGAGCUCCUACGGGAGGCAGCAGUGGGGAAAUAUUGGACAAUGGGCGCAAGCCCGUGAUCCAGCCAUGCCGCGUGAGUGAAGAAAGGCCUUCGGGUUGUAAAGCUUGCCUUUUGUCCGGAAAGAAAAGCUUUCGGUUAAUAACCCGGAAGUCCUGACGGGUCUACCGGAAGAAUAAGCACCGGCUAACUUCGUGCCAAGCAGCCGCGGUAGAUAUCCGAAGGGUGCAAGCGUUACUCGGAAUUACUGGGCGUAAAAGCGUGCGGUAGGUCUGGUUCGUUAAGUCUGAUGUGAAAGCCCUGGGCUCAACACUGGGGAAUUGCAUCUUGGAUACUGGCGGGCUAGAGUGCGGUAGAGGAUGGCGGAAAGUUCCCGGUGUCUAGCAGUGAAA
rnacentral:rRNA from 1 species